UUAAGCGACUAAGCGUACACGGUGGAUGCCCUGGCAGUCAGAGGCGAUGAAGGACGUGCUAAUCUGCGAAAAGCGUCGGUAAGGUGAUAUGAACCGUUAUAACCGGCGAUGUCCGAAUGGGGAAACCCAGUGCAAUUCGUUGCACUAUCGUUAACUGAAUACAUAGGUUAACGAGGCGAACCGGGGGAACUGAAACAUCUAAGUACCCCGAGGAAAAGAAAUCAACCGAGAUUCCCCCAGUAGCGGCGAGCGAACGGGGAGCAGCCCAGAGUCUGAAUCAGCUUGUGUGUUAGUGGAACGGUCUGGAAAGUCCGACGGUACAGGGUGAUAGUCCCGUACACCAAAAUGCACAGGUUGUGAACUCGAAGAGUAGGGCGGGACACGUGGUAUCCUGUCUGAAUAUGGGGGGACCAUCCUCCAAGGCUAAAUACUCCUGACUGACCGAUAGUGAACCAGUACCGUGAGGGAAAGGCGAAAAGAACCCCGGCGAGGGGAGUGAAAAAGAACCUGAAACCGUGUACGUACAAGCAGUGGGAGCACCUUCGGGUGUGACUGCGUACCUUUUGUAUAAUGGGUCAGCGACUUAUAUUCUGUAGCAAGGUUAACCGUAUAGGGGAGCCGCAGGGAAACCGAGUCUUAACUGGGCGUUAAGUUGCAGGGUAUAGACCCGAAACCCGGUGAUCUAGCCAUGGGCAGGUUGAAGGUUGGGUAACACUAACUGGAGGACCGAACCGACUAAUGUUGAAAAAUUAGCGGAUGACUUGUGGCUGGGGGUGAAAGGCCAAUCAAACCGGGAGAUAGCUGGUUCUCCCCGAAAGCUAUUUAGGUAGCGCCUCGUGAACUCAUCUUCGGGGGUAGAGCACUGUUUCGGCUAGGGGGUCAUCCCGACUUACCAACCCGAUGCAAACUACGAAUACCGAAGAAUGUUAUCACGGGAGACACACGGCGGGUGCUAACGUCCGUCGUGAAGAGGGAAACAACCCAGACCGCCAGCUAAGGUCCCAAAGUCAUGGUUAAGUGGGAAACGAUGUGGGAAGGCACAGACAGCCAGGAUGUUGGCUUAGAAGCAGCCAUCAUUUAAAGAAAGCGUAAUAGCUCACUGGUCGAGUCGGCCUGCGCGGAAGAUGUAACGGGGCUAAACCAUGCACCGAAGCUGCGGCAGCGACACUAUGUGUUGUUGGGUAGGGGAGCGUUCUGUAAGCCUGCGAAGGUGACCUGUGAGGGUUGCUGGAGGUAUCAGAAGUGCGAAUGCUGACAUAAGUAACGAUAAAGCGGGUGAAAAGCCCGCUCGCCGGAAGACCAAGGGUUCCUGUCCAACGUUAAUCGGGGCAGGGUGAGUCGACCCCUAAGGCGAGGCCGAAAGGCGUAGUCGAUGGGAAACAGGUUAAUAUUCCUGUACUUGGUGUUACUGCGAAGGGGGGACGGAGAAGGCUAUGUUAGCCGGGCGACGGUUGUCCCGGUUUAAGCAUGUAGGCUGAUUGUCCAGGCAAAUCCGGAUAAUCAAGGCUGAGGUGUGAUGACGAGGCACUACGGUGCUGAAGUAACAAAUGCCCUGCUUCCAGGAAAAGCCUCUAAGCAUCAGGUAACAUCAAAUCGUACCCCAAACCGACACAGGUGGUCAGGUAGAGAAUACCAAGGCGCUUGAGAGAACUCGGGUGAAGGAACUAGGCAAAAUGGUGCCGUAACUUCGGGAGAAGGCACGCUGGUGUGUAGGUGAAGCCCCUGCGGGUGGAGCUGAGACCAGUCGAAGAUACCAGCUGGCUGCAACUGUUUAUUAAAAACACAGCACUGUGCAAACACGAAAGUGGACGUAUACGGUGUGACGCCUGCCCGGUGCCGGAAGGUUAAUUGAUGGGGUUAUCCGUAAGGAGAAGCUCUUGAUCGAAGCCCCGGUAAACGGCGGCCGUAACUAUAACGGUCCUAAGGUAGCGAAAUUCCUUGUCGGGUAAGUUCCGACCUGCACGAAUGGCGUAAUGAUGGCCAGGCUGUCUCCACCCGAGACUCAGUGAAAUUGAACUCGCUGUGAAGAUGCAGUGUACCCGCGGCAAGACGGAAAGACCCCGUGAACCUUUACUAUAGCUUGACACUGAACAUUGAGCCUUGAUGUGUAGGAUAGGUGGGAGGCUUUGAAGCGUGGACGCCAGUCUGCGUGGAGCCAACCUUGAAAUACCACCCUUUAAUGUUUGAUGUUCUAACGUUGGCCCCUGACCGGGGUUGCGGACAGUGUCUGGUGGGUAGUUUGACUGGGGCGGUCUCCUCCCAAAGCGUAACGGAGGAGCACGAAGGUUAGCUAAUCCUGGUCGGACAUCAGGAGGUUAGUGCAAUGGCAUAAGCUAGCUUGACUGCGAGCGUGACGGCGCGAGCAGGUGCGAAAGCAGGUCAUAGUGAUCCGGUGGUUCUGAAUGGAAGGGCCAUCGCUCAACGGAUAAAAGGUACUCCGGGGAUAACAGGCUGAUACCGCCCAAGAGUUCAUAUCGACGGCGGUGUUUGGCACCUCGAUGUCGGCUCAUCACAUCCUGGGGCUGAAGUAGGUCCCAAGGGUAUGGCUGUUCGCCAUUUAAAGUGGUACGCGAGCUGGGUUUAGAACGUCGUGAGACAGUUCGGUCCCUAUCUGCCGUGGGCGCUGGAGAAUUGAGGGGGGCUGCUCCUAGUACGAGAGGACCGGAGUGGACGCAUCACUGGUGUUCGGGUUGUCAUGCCAAUGGCACUGCCCGGUAGCUAAAUGCGGAAGAGAUAAGUGCUGAAAGCAUCUAAGCACGAAACUUGCCCCGAGAUGAGUUCUCCCUGAGACUUUAAGUCUCCUGAAGGAACGUUGAAGACGACGACGUUGAUAGGCCGGGUGUGUAAGCGCAGCGAUGCGUUGAGCUAACCGGUACUAAUGAACCGUGAGGCUUAACCUU
rnacentral:rRNA from 1 species